AUACCGGGCUCUUUCGAGUCUGGU
rnacentral:siRNA from 1 species